rnacentral:rRNA from 1 species
GUGCCAGCAGCCGCGGUAAUACGUAGGUGGCGAGCGUUGUCCGGAAUUACUGGGUGUAAAGGGCGUGUAGGCGGGGAUGUAAGUCAGAUGUGAAAUACCAUGGCUCAACCGUGGGGGUGCAUCUGAAACUACAUCUCUUGAGUGCUGGAGAGGAAAGCGGAAUUCCCAGUGUAGCGGUGAAAUGCGUAGAUAUUGGGAGGAACACCAGUGGCGAAGGCGGCUUUCUGGACAGUAACUGACGCUGAGGCGCGAAAGCGUGGGGAGCAAACAGGAUUAGAUACCCUGGUAGUCCACGCCGUAAACGAUGGAUACUAGGUGUAGGAGGUAAUGACACCUUCUGUGCCGGAGUUAACACAAUAAGUAUCCCACCUGGGGAGUACGGCCGCAAGGUUGAAACUCAAAGAAAUUGACGG